rnacentral:rRNA from 1 species
AGGGUUCGAUUCUGGCUCAGGAUGAACGCUGGCGGCGUGCUUAACACAUGCAAGUCGAACGGGAUCCAUCAGGCUUUGCUUGGUGGUGAGAGUGGCGAACGGGUGAGUAAUGCGUGACCGACCUGCCCCAUGCACCGGAAUAGCUCCUGGAAACGGGUGGUAAUGCCGGAUGCUCCAUCACAUCGCAUGGUGUGUUGGGAAAGCCUUUGCGGCAUGGGAUGGGGUCGCGUCCUAUCAGCUUGAUGGCGGGGUAACGGCCCACCAUGGCUUCGACGGGUAGCCGGCCUGAGAGGGCGACCGGCCACAUUGGGACUGAGAUACGGCCCAGACUCCUACGGGAGGCAGCAGUGGGGAAUAUUGCACAAUGGGCGCAAGCCUGAUGCAGCGACGCCGCGUGAGGGAUGGAGGCCUUCGGGUUGUAAACCUCUUUUGUUAGGGAGCAAGGCACUUUGUGUUGAGUGUACCUUUCGAAUAAGCACCGGCUAACUACGUGCCAGCAGCCGCGGUAAUACGUAGGGUGCAAGCGUUAUCCGGAAUUAUUGGGCGUAAAGGGCUCGUAGGCGGUUCGUCGCGUCCGGUGUGAAAGUCCAUCGCUUAACGGUGGAUCCGCGCCGGGUACGGGCGGGCUUGAGUGCGGUAGGGGAGACUGGAAUUCCCGGUGUAACGGUGGAAUGUGUAGAUAUCGGGAAGAACACCAAUGGCGAAGGCAGGUCUCUGGGCCGUUACUGACGCUGAGGAGCGAAAGCGUGGGGAGCGAACAGGAUUAGAUACCCUGGUAGUCCACGCCGUAAACGGUGGAUGCUGGAUGUGGGGCCCGUUCCACGGGUUCCGUGUCGGAGCUAACGCGUUAAGCAUCCCGCCUGGGGAGUACGGCCGCAAGGCUAAAACUCAAAGAAAUUGAC